rnacentral:rRNA from 1 species
AUCGAACGCUGGCGGCAGGCUUAACACAUGCAAGUCGAACGAGUGGCGGACGGGUGAGUAAUGCUUGGGAAUCUAGCUCCUGGAGGGGGAUAACUACGGGAAACUGUAGCUAAUACCGCGUUCCAUAGGAUGAGCCUAAGUGGGACUAGGUAGUUGGUGAGGUAAAGGCUAACCAAGCCGACGAUCGCUAGCUGGUCUGCGAGGAUGACCAGCCACACUGGGACUAGGGCGCGGCCCAGACUCCUACGGGAGGCAGCAGAGGGGAAUAUUGCGCAAUGGGGGCAACCUGACGCAGCCAUGCCACGGGAAUGAAGAAGGCCUUCGGGUUGUAAGGUGCUUUCGGUAGCGGGGCGUUAACUACAGAAGAAGCACCGGCUAACUCCGUGCCAGCAGCCGCGGUAAUAC